rfam:Scytonema millei VB511283 scaffold_108, whole genome shotgun sequence.
GUCAACACCCCUGCCUAAAGGCUAGGGGCUUCCAGCCUCAAACCUCUAGGAUUAGUUGACCCGACGCGCGUACCUUGAGUACUACGUUAUUGGUAAGUGUUUAAGUUCCUACCUAUGGAUGCGUGAUGCCAGUCUGUAGCUCUAGAAAUCGAGGAUUAAACAGGUUUAGAGGGUUAAGCCAGUGUCUUUGAUAAAGUACCGACCAAAUAACAUUGUCUAGGCUCACAUUAC